CCCUUCCAAAGGGACACUAAAAAAGACGAUCCUAGGAUGAAUGCAGACUGACUCCAAUGUGCAACUGUGAAAAGAAAGGAAGAAGGAAGAAGGGAAGAAAAAAAAAGAAAUGAAUUGAGGACAGAUGUUUCCAAAUUUGCACAAACCCUGCCACUUGCGGACAAGCCUGGGCAAGCCCCCUGGAGGGUGAGAGACCAUGAGGAGGAGGAGAGAUGGGGCAUCCCCACCAGCAGCCAGCGGGCCCAGAGGGAGUGCUCCUUAAUCCAUGGCUGCCUGCAGAUGAGUGAGGGAACCCAGUCAAGACAGAAGAACCACCCAACAGAGCCAAGCUUAAAUUGCUG